ACGCUCGACACCUACGAGAGGCAGCAGUGGGGAAUAUUGCACAAUGGGGGAAACCCUGAUGCAGCGACGCCGCGUGAGCGAAGAAGUAUUUCGGUAUGUAAAGCUCUAUCAGCAGGGAAGAAGAAAGACGGUACCUGACUAAGAAGCCCCGGCUAACUACGUGCCAACAGCCGCGGUAAUCUGAGCGGGCGUGGCAAGGC
rnacentral:rRNA from 1 species